ACUUUGGAAGUCAAGAAAAGGAGCGUGAGCCAUCAUGGGAACACCAACCCAAUAUUCUUAUCCAUUGAAUGGGAGUUACAGAAGA
rnacentral:lncRNA from 1 species